rfam:Actinomyces marimammalium strain DSM 15383 Scaffold11, whole genome shotgun sequence.
AGCUGACACCUUUCACAACGGAUCGUCCGGCACGUACCUGCCGGUGAAGGGAAUAGUUA